UACGGAGGGUGCGAGCGUUAUCCGGAAUUACUGGGUUUAAAGGGUGCGUAGGCGGCCGUGCAGGUCUGGCGUGAAAGCCCCGGGCUCAGCCCGGGAAGUGCGCUCGAAACUGCGCGGCUCGAGUGCCGGAGGGGAGAGUGGAAUUCCUGGUGUAGCGGUGAAAUGCGUAGAUAUCAGGAGGAACACCGGUGGCGAAGGCGGGUCUCUGGGCAGUAACUGACGCUGAGGAGCGAAAGCGUGGGGAGCGAACAGG
rnacentral:rRNA from 1 species